AACGAACGCUGGCGGCAUGCCUAACACAUGCAAGUCGAGCGAGGCCUUCGGGUCUAGUGGCGCACGGGUGCGUAACGCGUGGGAACCUGCCCUUAGGUUCGGAAUAACUCCCCGAAAGGGGUGCUAAUACCGGAUAAUGUCUUCGGACCAAAGAUUUAUCGCCUUUGGAUGGGCCCGCGUUGGAUUAGCUAGUUGGUAGGGUAAAAGCCUACCAAGGCGACGAUCCAUAGCCGGUCUGAGAGGAUGAUCAGCCACACUGGGACUGAGACACGGCCCAGACUCUUCCGGAGGGAGGAGGUGGGGAAAAUUGAACAUGGGGCAAAGGCCUAUCCCGGCAAGGCGGCGUAGGGAUGAAAGGCCUUGGGGUUGUAAAGCUCUUUACCCGGGUUGAUAAUGACAGUACCGGGAGAAUAAGCUCCGGCUAACUCCGUG
rnacentral:rRNA from 1 species